UACGUAGGGGGCUAGCGUUGUCCGGAAUCAUUGGGCGUAAAGCGCGUGUAGGCGGUCCGGUAAGUCCGCUGUGAAAGUCGAGGGCUCAACCCUGGAAUUGCCUUCGAUACUGUUUGGCUAGAGACCGGAAGAGGUAAGUGGAACUGCGAGUGUAGAGGUGAAAUUCGUAGAUAUUCGCAAGAACACCAGUGGCGAAGGCGGCUUACUGGUCCGGUUCUGACGCUGAGGCGCGAAAGCGUGGGGAGCAAACAGG
rnacentral:rRNA from 1 species